UNGGUUUUCCAAGCCUCGCCCUGUGAUG
rnacentral:piRNA from 1 species